rnacentral:rRNA from 1 species
GAUGAACGCUAGCGGGAGGCUUAAUACAUGCAAGUCGAGGGGUAACAUGGAAGCUUGCUUCUGAUGACGACCGGCGCACGGGUGAGUAACGCGUACACAACCUACCUUUGAGAGGGGGAUAGCCUUUGGAAACGAAGAUUAAUACCCCAUGUGAUUAACAGAUAGCAUUUGAAGUUAAUUAAAGUUCCGGCGCUCAAAGAUGGGUGUGCGUCCCAUUAGCUAGUUGGUGAGGUAACGGCUCACCAAGGCGACGAUGGGUAGGGGGCGUGAGAGCGUGACCCCCCACACGGGUACUGAGACACGGACCCGACUCCUACGGGAGGCAGCAGUAAGGAAUAUUGGACAAUGGGCGCAAGCCUGAUCCAGCCAUCCCGCGUGUAGGAUGACUGCCCUAUGGGUUGUAAACUACUUUUGUCAGGGAAGAACCGCCUGGAUUUAUCCGGGUUUGACGGUACCUGAAGAAUAAGCACCGGCUAACUCCG